UACAGAGGUCCCAAGCGUUGUUCGGAUUCACUGGGCGUAAAGGGUGCGUAGGUGGCCAGGUAAGUUUGGUGUGAAAGCUCGGAGCUUAGCUCCGAAAAGUCAUUGAAUACUAUCUGGCUGGAGGGUCGGAGGGGAGACUGGAAUUCUCGGUGUAGCAGUGAAAUGCGUAGAUAUCGAGAGGAACACCAGUGGCGAAGGCGAGUCUCUGGACGACUCCUGACACUGAGGCACGAAAGCUAGGGGAGCAAACAGG
rnacentral:rRNA from 1 species